CCAAGGAGUCUAACAUGUACGCGAGUCAUUGGGACUUGUAUAAGCCUAAAGGCGCAAUGAAAGUGAAGGUCUUCCUUAGCGUUGGCCGAGGGAGGAUGGUCGGUCCUACGUAGGCCGGCUCGCACUCCCGGGGCGUCUCGUGCUCAUUGCGAGCAGAGGCGCACCUAGAGCGUACACGUUGGGACCCGAAAGAUGGUGAACUAUGCCUGGUCAGGACGAAGUCAGGGGAAACCCUGAUGGAGGUCCGUAGCGAUUCUGACGUGCAAAUCGAUCGUCGGAACUGGGUAUAGGGGCGAAAGACUAAUCGAACCAUC
rnacentral:rRNA from 1 species